rnacentral:rRNA from 1 species
GCGUUAAUCGGAAUUACUGGGCGUAAGCGCACGCAGGCGGUCUGUCAAGUCGGAUGUGAAAUCCCCGGGCUCAACCUGGGAACUGCAUUCGAAACUGGCAGGCUAGAGUCUUGUAGAGGGGGGUAGAAUUCCAGGUGUAGCGGUGAAAUGCGUAGAGAUCUGGAGGAAUACCGGUGGCGAAGGCGGCCCCCUGGACAAAGACUGACGCUCAGGUGCGAAAGCGUGGGGAGCAAACAGGAUUAGAUACCCUGGUAGUCCACGCCGUAAACGAUGUCGACUUGGAGGUUGUUCCCUUGAGGAGUGGCUUCCGGAGCUAACGCGUUAAGUCGACCGCCUGGGGAGUACGGCCGCAAGGUUAAAACUCAAAUGAAUUGACGGACGCCCGCGCGAGCGGUGGAGCA